AUCGUCCCACUCGAUUUUCUUUCCCCCCCUACCGGUUUUCUCCGUCACAGUUUUCUCCCUCCUCUGGCUUGCAUCUCAUGCCGGCGUCCAGCGCCACCGAUGCCGAUCUCCAGCCUUUGUCCGGCCCAUGGAUCCCGAUGUGGAGCUCCACUGCGGCCCGAUCUGACGUGGGAGCGGCCAGAUCCGUGCGUCUCCGCCUCGCUCCGCGCGCCUCCAUGGUCCGCCGUCUUCUCGAGCGCCGGUGCCGCGCUCAGCCGCCGCCGUCCCAUGCCAUGGUUGCCUCCCUCCAGAACGACCUGCCAUGGCCGCCUCCCUGCCUCUCCCGCAAGUGGGCCUCUGCACGACCAGAUCCGUUCCUCUGCGCCUCGCUCCGCGCGCCAUGAUGGCCCUCCGUCUUCCCGAGCGCCGGCGCCGUGCGCAGUCGCCGCCGCCCCAUGCCAUGGUCGCCUUCCUCCAGAACGCCGUGCCAUGGCCGCCUCCCUGCCUCUCCCGCAAGUGGGCCUCUGCGCCCCCGGCCUAGCAGAUUAAUGGAGGGCGCUGCCGACGUCGGGACAUGCCUCGGUUCACCUGCUUCCUGAUGUCCAAUUAUUUUUUGUUGUUGCUAUAUUCAACCUCAUCUCUGAAAGCCUACACCUUCCUGUGCUGUUGCUAUAUUCACGAGUUUGACAGGAGAAGGGACUGGAGGCAUACAGUAGGCAGAACAGUGGAACAAAACUCAGCUUCAAUUAAUCGACAUGGUGUUCGCAAAUGGAAAGUCGUUCCUGCUGCUACAGUUCAUUGGUUCAAGUCCGACACUGAGCUCACAGUGGACGUUGAGUUGGUGGACACAAUGGACAAUAAGCCCAUGAAGCUCCAGAAGUCCAGAUUUGGAUACGGUGAUUGUUGGACGUGAGCGAGCUUCAGGAGCACUUCCUACAGUUUUACUGAUCUGGACACACCACCUUCUCAGGUCUAAAAUUUUGAGUUUUCAGGUCUAAAAUGUAACUGAUGUAAAGAUUUGUCCAUCCCUUGAAUCCGACUUUUUUUCCAGCUGGUGCACUGAGGGAGGCGUUUGAUGUAGCAACUGCCUUUAAAAAACAAUGCCAUGAUUGAUUCAUUCCCCACUGGUAUAUUCAAAGUUCUAGGUCUAUACAUCAAUACAUGUAUAUUGCUUCUAAAGAUCUUGCAAAUUUGGAAGCUAAAAUUAGAUAAAAUGAUAUAAGUUUUUAGGUUAAUUCUAAUGUAAUGCAAUUUCAACUUCCUCUGGACUCUUGAAAGUAACUAUUUUGUUUGCCUGCAGUAUGUUCGUCCAGCAGAGGAUGCUCUUCAGUGGAAAAUUCUGAAACCUUAUUCAGCUUUGAUGUAUAGCUGGCACAGUUUGUUAAUAAUCUCUAUGAACAUUUGUACAAAUGGUGACAAAAAAGUUCUUUUAUAACCAUGGAAUCAUGACAUGGAAUGUAUUAUUAAUGUGUAUACCUUCAAUGUGGAUUAUCGAAGACUACUUUCGUUUCAUAUUCAUGCAAAAAACUUCUUCGGGAAUGUUGAAAUUUUUGCUUGUACUGUCUUUUCCUGGAGUCAUUGAAAUAUCCCCUUGCACAGAAAUUUGUUUUCUACUGAAUUUUUGUCAAGAUACUCUGGUACUAACAUUUAACUAUUUUGUAGGAAUGAAGAGCUCAAGGGAGCAAAAGGAACAAGGAGAAAGGAGCGCUCAAGAGAAGUGAACUCAAAGUCCAAGAUGCAAUCUUCACAUAGC